rnacentral:rRNA from 1 species
UACGGGAGGCAGCAGUGGGGGAAUAUUGCACAAUGGGCGCAAGCCUGAUGCAGCCAUGCCGCGUGUAUGAAGAAGGCCUUCGGGUUGUAAAGUACUUUCAGUCGUGAGGAAGGUGUUAAGGUUAAUAACCUUAGCAAUUGACGUUAGCGACAGAAGAAGCACCGGCUAACUCCGUGCCAGCAGCCGCGGUAAUACGGAGGGUGCGAGCGUUAAUCGGAAUUACUGGGCGUAAAGGGCACGCAGGCGGUUAAUUAAGUUGGAUGUGAAAUCCCCGGGCUUAACCUGGGAAUGGCAUUCAAGACUGGUUAGCUAGAGUCUUGUAGAGGGGGUAGAAUUCCAUGUGUAGCGGUGAAAUGCGUAGAGAUGUGGAGGAAUACCGGUGGCGAAGGCGGCCCCUGGACAAAGGCUGACGCUCAUGUGCGAAAGCGUGGGGAGCAA